UCUCGAUGGGAUAACUCUGUUGGUAGAGCAUGAGACUCUUGAUCUCAGGCUUGUGGGUCUGAGCCCCACAUUGGGAG